rnacentral:tRNA from 1 species
ACCUGGCUGGCUCAGUCAGUAGAGCAUGUGACUCUUGAUCUCAGGGUCAUGAGUUCAAGCCCCAUGUUGGGCA